AAGGGAGACCUAAUUCAGGUAUGGGACGAAAAAAAAGUAGUCGCUACCAAGAAUCAAUCCCAAAAGGUCGGAGCGAGGUAUGAGGCUUUCAAACUAGGUUCUGGGUUCAAACAAGACCUGAAUCAGGAACAAGGGCUAUUAGCUCAGGUGGUUAGAGCGCACCCCUGAUAAGGGUGAGGUCCCUGGUUCGAGUCCAGGAUGGCCCACCUGCACAGGUGGCAAAAACAAGAGAAGCUCCGAAUCAGCACCUUAUCUUAUCCAUAUAUAAGAGAGAAUGCUGGCUCUGAGUACAGAGUCCAGAGGAACCUUGAAAACUGCAUAGAGCUAGGUGAAAAAGCCAAAAAAGAAGACCGCAA
rnacentral:tRNA from 1 species